rnacentral:rRNA from 1 species
GGUAGUCCACGCCGUAAACGAUGAUAACUAGCUGUCCGGGCACUUGGUGCCUGGGUGGCGCAGCUAACGCAUUAAGUUAUCCGCCUGGGGAGUACGGCCGCAAGGUUAAAACUCAAAGAAAUUGACGGGGGCCUGCACAAGCGGUGGAGCAUGUGGUUUAAUCCGAAGCAACGCGCAGAACCUUACCAACGUUUGACAUCCCUAGUAUGGAUUAUGGAGACAUAUUCCUUCAGUUCGGCUGGCUAGGUGACAGGUGCUGCAUGGCUGUCGUCAGCUCGUGUCGUGAGAUGUUGGGUUAAG